UGGGGAAUAUUGGACAAUGGGCGAAAGCCUGAUCCAGCCAUGCCGCGUGCAGGAAGAAGGCGUUAUGCGUUGUAAACUGCUUUUUGCCAGGGGAUAAAAUGACCGUGCGCGGUUAAUUGAAGGUACCUGGUGAAUAAGCCACGGCUAACUACGUGCCAGCAGCCGCGGUAAUACGUAGGUGGCAAGCGUUGUCCGGAUUUAUUGGGUUUAAAGGGUGCGUAGGUGGCCCUGUAAGUCAGUGGUGAAAUAUCUCAGCUUAACUGAGAGGGUGCCAUUGAUACUGCAGGGCUUGAGUACAGAUGAGGUAGGCGGAAUUGACGGUGUAGCGGUGAAAUGCAUAGAUAUCGUCAAGAACACCGAUAGCGAAGGCAGCUUACCAAGCUGUAACUGACACUGAGGCACGAAAGUGUGGGGAUCAAACAGGAUUAGAUACCCUUGUAGUCCCUGAGCGGGCUGGCAAGGCG
rnacentral:rRNA from 1 species